CAAGAGCGUAUGUAAAAGUUGUUGCAGUUAAAAAGCUCGUAGUUGAACCUUGGGUUUGGUUGGCCGGUCCGCUUUUUUGCGAGUACUGGAUUCAACCGAGCCUUUCCUUCUGGCUAACCAGUCGUUUCGGCGGCUGGCGAACCAGGAUUUUUACUUUGAGAAAAUUAGAGUGUUCAAAGCAGGCAUUAGCUUGAAUAUAUUAGCAUGGAAUAAUAGAAUAGGACGUUAUGGUUCUAUUUUGUUGGUUUCUAGGACCAUCGUAAUGAUUAAUAGGGACGGUCGGGGGCAUCAGUAUUCAGUUGUCAGAGGUGAGAUUCUUGGAUUUACUGAAGACUAACUACUGCGAAAGCAUUUGCCAAGGACGUUUUCAUUAA
rnacentral:rRNA from 1 species